AUUGAACGCUGGCGGCAGGCUUAACACAUGCAAGUCGAGCGAGCGGCGGACGGGUGAGUAAUGUAUGGGAAACUGCCUGAUGGAGGGGGAUAACUACUGGAAACGGUAGCUACUACCGCAUACCAUCAGAUGUGCCCCGAUGGGAUUAGCUAGUCGGUGGGGUAAUGGCUCACCUAGGCGACGAUCCCUAGCUGGUCUGAGAGGAUGACCAGCCACACUGGAACUGAGACACGGUCCAGACUCCUACGGUAGGCAGCAGUGGGUAAUAUUGCACAAUGGGCGCAAGCCUGAUACAGCCAUCCCGCGUGUGUGAAGAAGGCCUUCGGGUUGUAAAGCACUUUCAGCGAGGAGGCGUUACUCGCAGAAUAAGCACCGGCUAACGCCGUGCCAGCAGCCGCGGUAAUAC
rnacentral:rRNA from 1 species